UAUGAAUAAGGAUCGGCUAACUCCGUGCCAGCAGCCGCGGUAAUACGGAGGAUCCGAGCGUUAUCCGGAUUUAUUGGGUUUAAAGGGAGCGUAGGUGGACUGGUAAGUCAGUUGUGAAAGUUUGCGGCUCAACCGUAAAAUUGCAGUUGAUACUGUCAGUCUUGAGUACAGUAGAGGUGGGCGGAAUUCGUGGUGUAGCGGUGAAAUGCUUAGAUAUCACGAAGAACUCCGAUUGCGAAGGCAGCUCACUGGACUGCAACUGACACUGAUGCUCGAAAGUGUGGGUAUCAAACAGGAUUAGAUACCCUGGUAGUCCACACAGUAAACGAUGAAUACUCGCUGUUUGCGAUAUACAGUAAGCGGCCAAGCGAAAGCAUUAAGUAUUCCACCUGGGGAGUACGCCGGCAACGGUGAAACUCAAAGGAAUUGACGGGGGCCCGCACAAGCGGAGGAACAUGUGGUUUAAUUCGAUGAUACGCGAGGAACCUUACCCGGGCUUAAAUUGCAGUGGAAUGAUGUGGAAACAUGUCAGUGAGCAAUCACCGCUGUGAAGGUGCUGCAUGGUUGUCGUCAGCUCGUGCCGUGAGGUGUCGGCUUAAGUGCCAUAACGAGCGCAACCCUUAUCUUCAGUUACUAACAGGUCAUGCUGAGGACUCUGGAGAGACUGCCGUCGUAAGAUGUGAGGAAGGUGGGGAUGACGUCAAAUCAGCACGGCCCUUACGUCCGGGGCUACACACGUGUUACAAUGGGGGGUACAGAAGGCAGCUAGCGGGUGACCGUAUGCUAAUCCCAAAAUCCUCUCUCAGUUCGGAUCGAAGUCUGCAACCCGACUUCGUGAAGCUGGAUUCGCUAGUAAUCGCGCAUCAGCCACGGCGCGGUGAAUACGUUCCCGGGCCUUGUACACACCGCCCGUCAAGCCAUGGGAGCCGGGGGUACCUGAAGUACGUAACCGCAAGGAUCGUCCUAGGGUAAAACUGGUGACUGGGGCUAAGUCGUAACAAGGUAGCCGUACCGGAAGGUGCGGCUG
rnacentral:rRNA from 1 species